GACGAACGCUGGCGGCGCGCUUAACACAUGCAAGUCGAGCGAUGAAAUUUCGACAGAUCCCUUCGGGGUGAAGAUGAAAUGGAUUAGCGGCGGACGGGUGAGUAACACGUGAGUAACCUGCCUUUGACAUUGGGAUAGCCUCGGGAAACUGGGAUUAAUACCAAAUGACACUAACUGAUCACAUGAUCAAUUAGUCAAAGAAAUUCGGUCAAAGAUGGACUCGCGGCUGAUUAGCUAGUUGGUGAGGUAACGGCCCACCAAGGCGACGAUCAGUAGCCGGCAGGAGAGGGUGAUCGGCCACAUUGGAACUGAGACACGGUCCAAACUCCUACGGGAGGCAGCAGUGGGGAAUAUUGCACAAUGGGGGAAACCCUGAUGCAGCGACGCCGCGUGAGCGAAGAAGGCCUUCGGGUCGUAAAGCUCUUUUAUGAGGGAAGAUAAUGACGGUACCUCAAGAAAAAGCCCCGGCUAACUACGUG
rnacentral:rRNA from 1 species